rnacentral:rRNA from 1 species
AUUGAACGCUGGCGGCAUGCCUUACACAUGCAAGUCGAACGGUAACAGGUCUUCGGAUGCUGACGAGUGGCGGACGGGUGCGUAAUACAUCGGAACGUGCCCGAUCGUGGGGGAUAACGAGGCGAAAGCUUUGCUAAUACCGCAUACGAUCUACGGAUGAAAGCGGGGGAUCUUCGGACCUCGCGCGGCCGGAGCGGCCGAUGGCAGAUUAGGUCGUUGGUGGGAUAAAAGCUUACCAAGGCGACGAUCUGUAGCUGGUCUGAGAGGAUGAUCAGCCACACUGGGACUGAGACACGGCCCAGACUCCUACGGGAGGCAGCAGUGGGGAAUUUUGGACAAAGGGCGAAAGCCUGAUCCAGCCAUGCCGCGUGCAGGAUGAAGGCCUUCGGGUUGUAAACUGCUUUUGUACGGAACGAAAAGCCUCUUUCUAAUAAAGAGGGGUCAUGACGGUACCGUAAGAAUAAGCACCGGCUAACUACGUG